rnacentral:rRNA from 1 species
UAGGGAAUCUUCCGCAAUGGGCGAAAGCUUGACGGAGCAACGCCGCGUGAGUGAUGAAGGUAUUCGGAUCGUAAAACUCUGUUAUUAGGGAAUAACAAAUGUGUAAGUAACUAUGCACGUCUUGACGGUACCUAAUCAGAAAGCCACGGCUAACUACGUGCCAGCAGCCGCGGUAAUACGUAGGUGGCAAGCGUUAUCCGGAAUUAUUGGGCGUAAAGCGCGCGUAGGCGGUUUUUUAAGUCUGAUGUGAAAGCCAACGGCUCAACCGUGGAGGGUCAUUGGAAACUGGAAAACUUGAGUGCAGAAGAGGAAAGUGGAAUUCCAUGUGUAGCGGUGAAAUGCGCAGAGAUAUGGAGGAACACCAGUGGCGAAGGCGACUUUCUGGUCUGUAACUGACGCUGAUGUGCGAAAGCGUGGGGAUCAAACAGGA